UAACGCGUGGGUAACCUGCCUCAUACAGGGGGAUAACGAUUGGAAACGAUUGCUAAUACCGCAUAAGCGCACAGUACCACAUGGUGCAGUGUGAAAAACUCCGGUGGUAUGAGAUGGACCCGCGUCUGAUUAGCUAGUUGGUGAGGCAACGGCCCACCAAGGCAACGAUCAGUAGCCGACCUGAGAGGGUGACCGGCCACAUUGGGACUGAGACACGGCCCAG
rnacentral:rRNA from 1 species